UUCCGGUUGAUCCUGCCGGACCCCACUGCUAUCGGGAUGAGACUAAGACAUGCUAGUCGUGCACCUCCAGGCCACGGUGGAGGCGCGGCGCACAGCUCAGUAACACGUGGCUAACCUACCCUUGGGACGGAAAUAACCCCGGGAAACUGGGGCUAAUUUCCGAUAGGUGAAGAUUCCUGGAAUGGAUCUUCGCCGAAAAGGCGUCUAGACCAUGCUUCUAGGCGCUGCCCAAGGAUGGGGCCGCGGCCGAUCAGGUUGUUGGUGAGGUAACGGCUCACCAAGCCUAUAACCGGUACGGGCCGUGGGAGCGGUAGCCCGGAGAUGGGCACUGAGACAAGGGCCCAGGCCCUACGGGGCGCAGCAGUCGCGAAACCUCCGCAAUACGCGAAAGCGUGACGGGGUCAUCCCGAGUGCCGUCUGCUGAGGAUGGCUUUUCCCCAGUGUAGACAGCUGGGGGAAUAAGGAGAGGGCAAGCCGGGUGUCAGCCGCCGCGGUAAUACCCGCUCUCCGAGUGGUGGGGACGCUUAUUGGGCCUAAAGCAUCCGUAGCCGGCUGGAUAAGUCCCCUGUUAAAUCCAGCGAUUCAAUCGUUGGACUGCGGGGGAUACUGUCCAGCUAGGGGGCGGGAGAGGCCGACGGUAUUCCCGGGGUAGGGGUGAAAUCUUAUAAUCCCGGGAGGACCACCAGUGGCGAAGGCUGUCGGCUAGAACGCGCCCGACGGUGAGGGAUGAAAGCUGGGGGAGCGAACCGGAUUAGAUACCCGGGUAGUCCCAGCUGUAAACGAUGCAGGCUAGGUGUUAACGCGGCUACGCGCCGCGUUAGUGCCGCAGGGAAGCUGUUAAGCCUGCCGCCUGGGGAGUACGGCCGCAAGGCUGAAACUUAAAGGAAUUGGCGGGGGAGCACCACAAGGGGUGAAGCUUGCGGUUUAAUUGGAGUCAACGCC
rnacentral:rRNA from 1 species